GAUGAACGCUGGCGGCGUGCUUAACACAUGCAAGUCGAACGAAGCACUUUAUUUGAUUUCCUUCGGGACUGAUUAUUUUGUGACUGAGUGGCGGACGGGUGAGUAACGCGUGGGUAACAUGCCUUGUACAGGGGGCUAACAGUUGGAAACGGCUGCUAAUGCCGCAUAAGCGCACAGCAUCGCAUGAUGCUGUGUUAAAAACUCCGAUGGUAUAGGAUGGGCCCGAGUUGGAUUAGCUAGUUGGUGAGGUAACGGCCCACCAAGGCGAGGUUCCAUAGCCGACAUGAGAGGGUGACUGGCGACAUUGGGACGGGGAAGCGGCCGAAACUACUACGGGAGGCGGGAAUGGGGAAUAUAGCAAAACGGGCGAAAGGAAGAUGCAGUGCGGAUGGGUGAGCGAAGAAGUAUGUGGGGAUGUAAAGCUCUAUCAGCAGUGAAUGUUUUGACGGUACCUGACGAAGAAGCACCGGCUAACUACGUG
rnacentral:rRNA from 1 species